ensembl:lncRNA
GUGCUCAGCUGUCACUGGAGGUGCCCCCGUUCCUCCCAUUGCAGUACAGCGAAAGCCUCAAUCAAGAGCUGAAGUUAUUUGGUUUAAUUACAUGGCAUUUAAUUAGCGGAGAAAAACCAAUGCUUUUUUGGUGGUUUCUUGUCGUAAGGAGCAGCUAGAUGCUUCCCUAGCGGGGCAGUGCAGCAGUGUGAGUCAGAUGUGUGCAGUGCAGCGCUGGGGCUUCCCAGAGCAGUGGUUUAGGAAGAUCCCUGCUUCAGACAGGGGGCAGCCCUCGUGGCUUUGAUCACUGGUUGGUUCUGGCUUCUGUGCUGCGCUGUACAAGAAGGCAUUCUCUUGUGCUACGGUUCUGGAGCAGCCUCCAGGGAGGAGCAGGCUGCAGCCGGCGUGGCGGUGCGGCACACAGGCGUGCUUCCAGCUCUCAGCACUAAGUCACUGUCUAACAAGCGUGCCUCGCAUCAUGGGACAAAUGCUGUUCCAGAAAUAUCAGAGGUUAAUCCGAUGCACCAUCCCUUACAUAGCAUCGCAGUGUAACGCUUUGCUUGGGGUGGGGGGGGGUUCUGGCUCUCUCUUUGCCAUGCUUACUGGAGUAUUGCUGCCACUUUUCCUCCUGGAAGCGGGGAGCGGCGUAAGGAAGGGCUGAGCAGCACCCAUAGUGCUGGGGCCAGCUCUGAACCGAUGGCCACUCGUUUCCAUUAGGGGUGAACUCGGCUUGGGGCUUUAGUAAAUGCUGACCGUGCUAUAGCCAGUAAUUGCAGAUGUAAAAAUAAGUGACCACGUUUUGUUUAUUCGCGUGCAGUCAAUAACCCUGUGAGAAUAGUAAAUAGAGCUCCACCCCAGCGAAGCAGCGUGAAGAGUUCAAACGCUGGAAGAUGACCCUGUAGACACACACAAACGCAGUGCUGUUCCGUAUACAAUAGAACAGAAAGGCCAAAAAUACCCUACCAAACCCAUACGCUGCGCAGCGUAGAGACCCGGCCUUGCAACACACUGAACUCCCAUUGAAGAACUCAAGACAUCAUGCAGGAUCCGUGCCCAGAAAUGUGAGCCCCCAGCAUGGUGCUCUGGAGCUGUGCAGACAUGUUUCGUCUUACGGAGCUGAGUAUCUGCUUUUCAGCAGCUGAGCCCUGGGGACACGGUGCUAGGCAGAGCAGUGAGGAAUGAGGCUUCCUUUCAGAGAGGUUAGCUCAUCUCUUAGCGUCCGUGGAAAAGAGCUUACCUCACAUUCUCACCUGGACUGUUGCCCUUAAUCUAUGGCACUCGCUAAAGAGGAAAAUAGAAUCGAGCAUGUUCAAGCGAAUGUUUUCCAUGUUUUGAUCUUGUUUCUUGAGCUCAGCUCGGAGCAGUGUGGGAAGUGCCUUUUGGGCAGCGUGUGCAAUUACUCCCAGGCCUUCCAGAAAGCAGAGGUUAGCUGUGCAAUGGACUCCGAAUGUGCAGAGAGUCUGCAAUCAGAAGUCAAAAAUAAAAUGACUAUAAUUAGUAAUGACCAAAGCAACUGGAAAUGGUGUCAGUCAGAGCCGAGCCAGCUUUCUUUUUAUCUGUCACCUAAUGAAUGAGGGCUGAGGUUAUUCUCCAAGGAUGAGAGGGCUGAAUUUUUUUCCCAUUCAAAUCUGGUGCUGUGGGACAAAUGCAAACUCAGGGCUCAUUUACUACCUUGUUUUUCAGCUAUGGAACCUGCAGGCAGGU